UGGGAAAUGACACGUUGAUUUUGAAAACCUUUCAUGUUCCUUGGGCAUACUGACAAAAACUGCAUGUUUUUGUCAGUAUGGUGGCUGCUGAAGCAAAAGAGAGUAUAUUUUCUAUCAACUAGUAAAACCCCAGUUUAGUUUAGUUUAGUUUAGUUUAGUUUUGUGUUGCUGCUGCUGUGAGAAAACAACCCAUCCUCCCAGAGUGUACCAGAGGGCUGCAGGUGUUUCCCAUCAUCUCAGGUGUUCCUCAGAAGCUUUCCUGGGGCCUGUUGUCACCUGGCACCCGACCUGCUUUAGGUGAAGUUGGAAGCUCCAGCCCCAGCCAGGAACUGCAGGACCCCAAAGUCAGCACCUGCUCCUUGCGCCCAGCAAGGGCCAGGGACUCUCAGGUUCUUGCUUGACUUCUGUGCAUUCAGUGUCCUGUGCAGUCUGGGCUGGAGCAGAGUAAAGUUUUCAAAUAUCUGUGACUUCUGUGGCUGGGAAUAAACCAUGGUGAUGGCAGGCAGAGGAUGAGGAGAGAAAGCACAGGACUUCUUGGCUUCGAUGUUCAAAGGAAUGAGCAGAUCACAUGUCUUGAUGGGUGGAGAUUUUGGUAGUCACGUCAGUUUUGUGGAUCAGGAUCUGAUGGUGCCUGUGAGCAGGGCUGCUACUGCACUGUAGAAGUCCAUCAGAAAUGCUCUGACAGGAAGAAAAUAUGUUUUCUGCAGCCCCUGGCUCCCUGCCAGCUGUGCUUCAGACACAGACUAGCCCAGACAGUCCUAAUACAUCAUAAUAUUAGUGAGUUUUGUUCAACAAAGGGUUCAAAUGUCUUUCCAGUUAAUUAUUAAUUUCAUUACAGCGAAAUCAUUAAUUACAUUUUAAUACUGAAAGAUGAUGCUUCUGCAAAUUAUGAAGCGAACAUUAGGAAAAGGAAUAAAGAGGAACUCACUGGUAAUGAGUCCUGAGAGCUAUGUGAGUGCUCUUUGGGAGCUGCAGAGGCUGUGGUCCUCUGUGAGGCUCCCACUUCUCUGCUCGUCCUUUCUCCACUGCCUCCUCCCAGCACUUAAGUUGACAAACAUGUAGGAUGUGGGCACCAAGCAGGGCAGAUGUGUGAGCAACUGCCCUGCAUAGGACAUAGUUUCCAUCCUAAAUUAGUGCUAUUGCACCCCAAGAAUUCCCCAUCCUUCCUUAACCUCGCUCAGGUUGGCUGACCUCCCAGAGAGCCCUUCUCUCUUGCAGUGAAACCUCCUCGAAGCAAUAAUAAGAAAAUGCAGGGCAGAGUUUAGUCUGUGGGCUCCUGAGGGAGACCUCUGCCUCAGGUGAAACCUGGACCCAUGGCUGAGGAGCAACAUCUUCCUCUCCCAUCACUAGGAAUGAAGCAAAUGAGCUUUUCCAGUACUACUGCAAACCAGAGACUGACUGGGUGGAGAAUCCAGUGACUGAGCUGGAAAAAAGAAGCAGGAGCCCUAAGGCCCAGCUCCUGCAGGCCAUGGCAAGAGAGGGAAUUACACAAAGUCCUCUCUGACCUUCCAAUGUUAGGUUCAGUUUGAUGUUUAGGAAGUAGUGACAGGGCACCUGGCAUUUCCCCUGAAGCUACGAGACGGGUUAACUACAACAAAUAGGCAAAUAGCCAACCUGAUGCUCCUAUCCUAACUCGCAGGACAUGUAUCCUCACGGGGGACAGCAGCAGGGAGACAGCCAGCCAUCCUCCUCCGAACCGCAGCGCUGUUCAGGAAGAAAACCAGCACUUAUCCUCAGAUGCUUAAACUGAUUGCAUCCAUGCUCCGCCUGGUCAGCCUCUGAAUACCACUUCCCCUCGCCUGAGUCAUUUAAUCACCACUGCCAAUCAGCACCAUUGAGCAGAGCAACAAUACGUCUCAAAGCUCAAUCACCUUCAUAAUCGUCUCACUGUCAGCACAUGUGUCUCCCUGGAGGGCAGAAUUACUGACAGAUGAGAUGCAGGGUGUUUUUGUAAUUGACAUGUUCCCUUGGGUGUGUGUGUGUGUCUCGUGAGGACACGUGGCUGCGUACAUGUACGAGGGUGUGUAUGCUGCGCUUUUAAAUGUACUUGUUGGGAGCAGCAUGCCUUCAGAAAGGGAAUUAUGCAUUUCAACAGAAUUUGCAGCUUCUUAACUGGUCAAUCAGUUGAGAAAUGCAUAGAAACAGCAGUGGUGUGGCGAGGCUGACAGUGACGCUGGCCAAUAUUUAAGUAUUAAAUGGGUCCACGUGGUGAUGAGUCCACGAGAGACCACAUGCUGGAAGGUCUGUGUUGUCAUCACAUGGUGCAAGCUGCUCGUGUUUCUCUUUUUAAAUUCAGCAACUUUAUCUGGCUAUUACCUCGUGGAGUCUGAAGUCUGGAGAACCUGGAGAACCAUCUGGUCAGUCCCUUCCAGCCCGCGUGGGUGCUCCAGGGAGGCUGGGCAAUCUCCCUGCCCACCGCCCCAUCUGUCACCCCUUCCUUCCCAGCAAAAUUGAUCCCUGAAGGCCUGCAAUUCCUGUAGAAACUUCCAAUUUCAAGAGAUGGUGAUUUUCCUGCAAAGAACCAUUUCAACUGAAAGAUUUCCAGCACUAAUAGCUAUUCCUUCCUUAUUCUUUUUCAGCUUUCUCUCUGCUUCAUCCCUCCUGACAUGCAGCAGCUGGAGAUAAACCCUCUUCACCUUUGUGCCCUGGAGCAGCCUGUCUGGCACCCUUCACAAGUCCCACCUUUGCUUUCUGGGAAAGUCCAAGCAGCAAUGUCACCCACUAGCUGAGAUGUGACAACAGGCAUCCGGCCCCACAGCACUUGUGCUGAAUGGCAUCGCUGGGAUCAUUAGCUUUUGACCCGCUGCAUAGUGCAAGGCUGGUGGUAUAAAAUACUCUGUUGUGAUUCAUCACCCGCAAGUCUAGGUACUAAUUAUAAUCCACCUCUUAUGUGUGCCAGUAGCCUAUAAUUUUAAUCCCAAACAUUUGUGUGUGUAAUGAGGCAAUGCUUUUAUGGCUUAUAUCCUGGUGUAAGCCUGUGAUUUGUAUCAUGCUGGAAAUACAAAAUCAAAUAAGAGGGAAUAAAAAUAAAUAAUGGCAAACUUUUGCCCUUUGAAUUUGACAUAUAAAAAGUGUUGUGAUGACUUUAAAGUUUGCAGGGAAAACAAGUGUAUGUGCAUGUCUC